rnacentral:rRNA from 1 species
GACGAACCGUGCGAACGUUAUUCGGAAUCAUUGGGCUUAAAGGGCGCGUAGGCGGGCCCGCGCGUCGGAACUGAAAUCCCCCGGCUCAACCGGGGAACGGGCUCCGAUACGGUUGGCCUCGAGGUGAGAAGGGGGACCUGGAACGUCCGGUGGAGCGGUGAAAUGCGUUGAGAUCGGAAGGAACGUCGAUGGCGAAGGCAGGCACCUGGCUUGAUACUGACGCUGAAGCGCGAAAGCGUGGGGAGCGAACAGG